UCUCUAUCACCCCGACUAGCUUUGCUUUUGGGUGGGAAACAGGGCCACACACAGCUCUGCACCCAUCUCUUUUAAGUUUCACCACUAGAGGAAAGGACCACCUUCUUUUGGUUCUCAUUCAAAGAAAGCAGUCCAGGAAAAUGAUUGUCUCCGAUUGGCUGAGCUUUGGGCUAUUGACCAUUCUUGGACCAAUCAGAAUACAGAAUUCUGCAACUGUCACCUAAAUUGAAUUCCUUUGGUAACUAAGUUUGUACACUGAAACAGAGCAAUCAUCCAAGAGGAUGAGAGAGGUCAUUGGAGAUAUAAGUAACAACAUGAGAAAGAGAAGUAUGACUGUCUCAGGCUGUCUUUCCUGGAAGAUGAAGACUACCUGGCUCUUGGAGGUUCCUUCACUGCUGGGUGCCCCUGAUGGAGAGGUCUACUUCCGGAUUUUCUCUUCUGUUUCACUGAGCUGUGUGUCUGUCCAUCUACUAGAAGAACCACACUGUCUUCACUACUACAAUGUAUGCUAGAACUUCUAGAACUAUACCGAGUGAGAGUGGAUAUCCAUGCCUUAUUCCUGAGCUUUGUGGAAGAAGAAUUCCAUUUGUCACCUUUAAGUAUGAUAUUAGCAGAAAGUUUCCUCCAUUUUUUAAAGACUACUGAAUAACCUUACAGUUCUAUGGUAAGGUUGUUCUAUAAUUGACUUUUCCAAUUCUUUAUAGAUGGGUUUUUGUUGCUUUCAUUCUUUUGUACAAUAACACUUUUAUGAAUGUGCUCAUACAUGUGUGACUUUUCAUAUGUUCAUGAAUAUAUGGGUAAGAUAAACUCCUAGAUAAAGAUAAACUCCUUCUCGGUUCUGUUUAUACCCACUUCCUAGGUGAUCUUUCUUGGUUUUGUGGUCAUAAAUGCCAUACAAUGGCAACGCCCAAAUAUGUGUUCUCAGCCUGAUUUCUGCCCUCACUUCUGAUCUGUGUAUUCAUUUUCUCACUGAAUAUCUCCAUUUGGACAUCUAACACACUUUCAAGGUGAACACAUCUAAAACUGAACUCCUA
rnacentral:lncRNA from 13 species